rnacentral:tRNA from 2 species
GAGCAUAGCUCAGUUGGUUAGAGCGUCGGAUUGUGGUUCCGAAGGUCGUGGGUUCGACCCCCACUGUUCA